AUGGAAAACCUGGCCUUUAACAAGAGGUCGCUGUGCUAUCUGUGCAAGAGGAUGAAUCAGCAACAGGGAGAUGAUGACAUCAGGAAGACAAUUCAGCCAUUCUCUGAAUUGAAAGAGAGGGAUCCAAAUUUUGUUGACAGUGUGCUUGUGGACGAAGAGAGCAAAAUCAGAGCACUGAUGUGGACAGAUGGUAAGAGCCUCCACCAGUACAAAUUCUUCGGAGACGCAAUAACCUUCGACACAACAUAUCGUACCAACCAGUACGACAUGCCUUUCGGAUUGUUUGUUGGUGUCAACAAUCACUUCUAG
rnacentral:rRNA from 1 species